GCCUUGGUAGCGUAACGGUUAAGCACUCGGCUGCUAACCAAAAGGUUGAGGGUUUGAACCUCCCAGGGGCA
rnacentral:tRNA from 1 species